rnacentral:rRNA from 1 species
CCCUUAGACGUUCUGGGCCGCACGCGCGCUACACUGACCAGUGCAACAAGCAUCCGUCCUUGGCCGACAGGCUCGGGCAAUCUUUGAACGCUGUUCGUGAUUGGGAUAGACCUUUGCAAUUAUGGGUCUUCAACGAGGAAUUCCUAGUAAACGCAAGUCAUCAGCUUGCAUUGAUUACGUCCCUGCCCUUUGUACACACCGCCCGUCGCACCUACCGAUUGAAUGGUCCGGUGAAAUCUCGGGACGGCGGCUUGGUCGCUUGCGUCCGACUGCUGAAACUUGAUUAAACCAUAUCAUUUAGAGGAAGGUGAANUCGUANCA